AUUGAACGCUGGCGGCAUGCCUUACACAUGCAAGUCGAACGGUAACAGGUCUUCGGAUGCUGACGAGUGGCGAACGGGUGAGUAAUACAUCGGAACGUGCCUAGUAGUGGGGGAUAACUACUCGAAAGAGUGGCUAAUACCGCAUGAGAUCUACGGAUGAAAGCAGGGGAUCGCAAGACCUUGUGCUACUAGAGCGGCCGAUGGCAGAUUAGGUAGUUGGUGGGAUAAAAGCUUACCAAGCCGACGAUCUGUAGCUGGUCUGAGAGGACGAUCAGCCACAAUGGGACUGAGACACGGGCCAGACUCCUACGGGAGGCAGCAGUGGGGAAUUUUGGACAAUGGGCGCAAGCCUGAUCCAGCAAUGCCGCGUGCAGGAUGAAGGCCUUCGGGUUGUAAACUGCUUUUGUACGGAACGAAAAGCCCUGGGUUAAUACCCUGGGGUCAUGACGGUACCGUAAGAAUAAGCACCGGCUAACUACGUGCCAGCAGCCGCCGUAAUAC
rnacentral:rRNA from 1 species